AAAAAAAAAUAACAAAAAUACCAUUUGCAUUGGCGCAUGUAAUGAAACUAUUGUACAUAUGCGCCAUUUGCAUUGGCACAUGCAUGUCCAUGUCUCCACUAGGAGUGACUCAUGCAUGUCCUAUGCGCCACAUGCAAUGGCGCAUGCAUAGUCCACUUAGUGGAGACACCAAUACAUGUGGCUACUGCUCUUGCACUCCGUCUAUAAACACAACAUCACCCUCCCAUAAUUUUU
rnacentral:lncRNA from 1 species